rnacentral:rRNA from 1 species
UACAGAGGUCUCAAGCGUUGUUCGGAUUUACUGGGCGUAAAGGGCGCGUAGGCGGCGUGACAAGUCACUUGUGAAAUCUCCGGGCUUAACUCGGAACGGUCAAGUGAUACUGUCGUGCUAGAGUACAGAAGGGGCAACUGGAAUUCUCGGUGUAGCGGUGAAAUGCGUAGAUAUCGAGAGGAACACCUGCGGCGAAGGCGGGUUGCUGGGCUGAUACUGACGCUGAGGCGCGAAAGCCAGGGGAGCGAACGGG